rnacentral:rRNA from 1 species
UACGUAGGGUGCGAGCGUUGUCCGGAAUUAUUGGGCGUAAAGCGCACGCAGGCGGUCGAUUAAGUUUGGAGUGACAGUUGGUGGCUUAACUGCCAAAGUGCUUUGAAAACUGAUCGACUUGAGGGCUUCAGAGGGACACGGAAUUCCGGGUGGAGUGGUGAAAUGCGUAGAGAUCCGGAGGAACACCGAAGGCGAAGGCAGUGUCCUGGGGAGUACCUGACGCUCAGGUGCGAAAGCCAGGGGAGCGAACGGG